rnacentral:tRNA from 1 species
AAAUUUGGAGACGCACCCUAAAAGGUGCCGGGGCUUCUCCCGUUUUAAGAGAGACGGGAGAAGG